rnacentral:rRNA from 1 species
AGCAGCCACGGUAAUUCCAGCUCCAAUAGCGUAUAUUAAAGUUGUUGCAGUUAAAAAGCUCGUAGUUGAAUUUCGGGGUCAGUAGGUUGGUCAUGCCUCCGGUAUGUACUGGUCUCACUGAUUCCUCCUUCCUGAUGAGCCGUAAUGCCAUUAAUUUGGUGUUGCGGGGAAUCUGGACUGUUACUUUGAAAAAAUUAGAGUGUUUAAAGCAAACUAACGCUUGAAUACAUUAGCAUGGAAUAAUGGAAUAGGACGUUCGAUCCUAUUUUGUUGGUUUCUAGGAUUGACGUAAUGAUUAAUAGGGAUAGUUGGGGGCAUUAGUAUUCAAUUGUCAGAAGUGAAAUUCUUGGAUUUAUUGAAGACUAACUACUGCGAAAGCAUUUGCCAAGGAUGUUUUCAUUAAUCAAGAACGAAAGUUAGGGGAUCGAAGACGAUCAGAUACCGUCGUAGUCUUAACCAUAAACUAUGCCGACUAGGGAUCGGAUGAUGUUAAUUUUUAAUGACUCAUUCGGCGCCUUAA